rnacentral:rRNA from 1 species
GACGAACGCUAGCGGUGUGCCUAAUACAUGCCACGUCAAACCGUUCUUUUUAUGAUGAAGCUUCGGUAGAUUCAAAAAAAGAAUAGUGGCGAACGGGUGAGUAACGCGUGGAUAAUCUGCCCUAAAGACAGGGAUAAGCUUCCGAAAGGGGGUUUAAUACUGAUAAAAAAAUCAAAUUGCAUGAUUUGAUUUUCAAAGGUAGCUUUUUAAGCUUCUGUUUUAGGAUGAGUCCGCGUCCUAUCAGCUAGUUGGUGAGGUAAAUGCUCACCAAGGCGACGACGGGUAGCCGGUCUGAGAGGAUGUUCGGCCACACUGGGACUGAGAACGGCCCAGACUCCUACGGGAGGCAGCAGUAGGGAAUAUUGCGCAAUGGGCGAAAGCCUGACGCAGCGACACCGCGUGGAGGAUGAAGGUUUUCGGAUUGUAAACUCCUGUCAAUAGAGGAGGAAGGCAUAUAAGGUGAAUAGCCUUUUAUGUUGACAGUACUCUAUAAGGAAGCCCCGGCCAACUACGUGCCAGCAGCCGCGGUAAGACGUAGGGGGCGAGCGUUGUCCGGAAUCAUUGGGCGUAAAGCGCACGCAGGCGGCUUUCCAAGUCAAAUGUGAAAUCUCCUGGUAAAACUAGGAAAUUGCAUUCGAUACUGGAUCGCUUGAGUUCGGGAGAGGAGAGCGGAAUUCCCGGUGUAGCGGUGAAAUGCGCAGAUAUCGGGAGGAACACCAUUAGCGAAGGCGGCUCUCUGGAACGAUACUGACGCUAAGGUGCGAGAGCUAGGGGAGCAAACAGGAUUAGAUACCCUGGUAGUCCUAGCUGUAAACGUCGGGCACUAGAUGUAGGGAGAUAUUGACUCUCCCUGUAUCGUAGCUAACGCGUUAAGUGCCUCGCCUGGGGAGUACGACCGCAAGGUUAAAACUCAAAUGAAUUGACGG